rnacentral:pre_miRNA from 1 species
GGAGAACAGCUAGCGUUUGUUUUAUUUGGUAUGUGAACAUUUUGCUAGCCAUAUCAUAAGACACACGCGGCUAUUCUCC